UAGGGGGCCAGUGUUGCUCGGAAUUACUGGGCGUAAAGGGUCCGUAGGCGGUGUAGCAAGUCGAGAGUGAAAUCCCUGGGCUUAACCCAGGGGCUGCUAACGAAACUGCUAUGCUAGAGUGUGAGAGAGGCGAGUGGAAUUACGGGUGUAGCGGUGAAAUGCGUAGAUAUCCGUAGGAACAUCCGAGGCGAAGGCGGCUCGCUGGAUCACAACUGACGCUGAGGGACGAAAGCUAGGGGAGCAAACAGGAUUAGAUACCCUGGUAGUCCUAGCCCUAAACCAUCAGGACUUGGGGUGUGCCCUGUACGGGGCACGUCCCGUAGCUAACGCGUUAAGUCCUGCGCCUGGGGAGUACGGUCGCAAGGCUGAAACUCAAAGGAAUUGACGGGGGCCCGCACAAGCGGUGGAACAUGUGGUUCAAUUCGACGCAACGCGAAGAACCUUACCUGGGCUUGAACCGCACAGGACCAGCUCUAGAAAUAGGGCCUUCUCGCAAGAGACCUGUGUAGAGGUGCUGCAUGGUUGUCGUCAGCUCGUGCCGUGAGGUGUUGGGUUAAGUCCCGCAACGAGCGCAACCCUUACUCAUAGUUGCUACCCGCAAGGGAGAACUCUAUGAGGACUGCUCCGGAUAACGGAGAGGGAGGUGGGGAUGAGGUCAAGUCAGCAUGGCCUUUAUGUCCAGGGCUACACACGUGUUACAAUGCGCGCCACAAAGCGUUGCAAACCCGCGAGGGGGAGCUAAUCGCAUAAAAGCGCGCUCAGUUCGGAUUGCAGUCUGCAACUCGACUGCAUGAAGCCGGAAUCGCUAGUAAUGGCGCAUCAGAACGGCGCCGUGAAUACGUUCCCGGGCCUUGUACACACCGCCCGUCACAUCACGAAAGUGGGCUGUACUAGAAAUCGUCGAGCUAACCGCAAGGAAGCAGACGCUCAAGGUAUGACUCAUGAUUGGGGUGAAGUCGUAACAAGGUAGCC
rnacentral:rRNA from 1 species